CCUACGGGUGGCAGCAGUGAGGAAUAUUGGUCAAUGGGCGCGAGCCUGAACCAGCCAAGUAGCGUGAAGGAUGACUGCCCUACGGGUUGUAAACUUCUUUUAUAAAGGAAUAAAGCGAGGCACGUGUGCCUUUUUGUAUGUACUUUAUGAAUAAGGAUCGGCUAACUCCGUGCCAGCAGCCGCGGUAAUACGUAGGUGGCAAGCGUUAUCCGGAUUUAUUGGGUGUAAAGGGCGUGUAGGCGGGAGCGCAAGUCAGAUGUGAAAACUCAGGGCUCAACCCUGGGCCUGCAGUUGAAACUGUGGUUCUUGAGUGCGGGAGAAGCAAGCGGAAUGCGGGGUGUAGCGGUGAAAUGCGUAGAUAUAAGGAAGAACACCGGUGGCGAAGGCAGAUUGCUGGAGCGUAACUGACGCUGAGGCGCGAAAGCGUGGGGAGCGAACAGGAUUAGAUACCCCAGUAGUC
rnacentral:rRNA from 1 species